rnacentral:SRP_RNA from 1 species
AUGGCUACCCCCAUGCUCGAUCUAGCCUUUAAGCGGCUCCAAUGUCUGGGGUGUCUUCCUUCGUACCGCCCCAGAGGGGGUGUGAACGUUGGACCUUCGCCCAGC